ACUCUGCCUCCUUUUGUCCUCUAUAUAGUCUCUUGUCUACAUUUAUUUUACUUCACAGUGUGCAUAUACUAUCAAUUUGUAUUAGAGAGAUCUCAAAGAGAAAUCAAAAUGGAGUGAUAGGUUGUAUUAUGAGGAUUCGCAGAGCUUUUAAAAUGGCAGCCAACAACAUUCUAUGAACUAAGUUAAACAGUGUUAUGAAACAUAAAUAAUUUCAUUUGCAAUAACCAAAGAGAAUAAUAUUUAUUUAUUUUCUUUGGCUCUAUCAUCUAAUAGGAGGAGAAGUAAAAAAAACAGAAGAGAAAGAUCCAAUCAUUCUAGAAAGGAACACAAUAUGCUUCACGGAUCCCAAGAAUCUUUCUAUGCCUGCCUAAACCCAGCAAUAUAAAUCAAACCUUCACACGCUUCGGUUCUUCUUUACACGUGCCGGAAAAAAAACCCUAGUAGUAGCCGCCCAAUGACCAUCUAAAGUGGUCCCCGUGAUGACACGUGUCAGUUGGACCACUAUCCGUAACUUAACAUGAAAGCACAUGUGGGGUCCCCUCUUUCGUCCUUUGCCCUACCAGUUCCUUGUCCUAGCCCACAAUACAAUCUAC